rnacentral:rRNA from 1 species
GUUCAUGCUCGAAGGUGCGGGUAUCGAACAGGAUUAGAUACCCUGGUAGUCCGCACGGUAAACGAUGGAUGCCCGCUGUUGGCGACACACUGUCAGCGGCCAAGCGAAAGCAUUAAGCAUCCCACCUGGGGAGUACGCCGGCAACGGUGAAACUCAAAGGAAUUGACGGGGGCCCGCACAAGCGGAGGAACAUGUGGUUUAAUUCGAUGAUACGCGAGGAACCUUACCCGGGCUUGAACUGCAGGAGAAGGAUACAGAGAUGUUGACGCCCUUCGGGGCUCCUGUGGAGGUGCUGCAUGGUUGUCGUCAGCUCGUGCCGUGAGGUGUCGGCUUAAGUGCCAUAACGAGCGCAACCCCUCUCUUCAGUUGCCAUCAGGCUAUGCUGGGCACUCUGGAGACACUGCCACCGCAAGGUGUGAGGAAGGUGGGGACGACGUCAAAUCAGCACGGCCCUUACGUCCGGGGCUACACACGUGUUACAAUGGGUGGUACAGAGAGUAAGUCCCCAGCAAUGUGGAUUCAAUCAUGAAAGCCAUCCUCAGUUCGGAUUGGGGUCUGCAACCCGACCCCAUGAAGCUGGAUUCGCUAGUAAUCGCGCAUC